rnacentral:misc_RNA from 1 species
UAAUGAUUGCGAAUCGUGACCUUCGGUGCUGGCUGCUGCUCACUCGUGAGCCAGUAAGUGCACGUUGGUCGCUUUCAUCCACUACCACACUUGUGAACCUUUGACCUCUUGCUGGCUUCGGCUGGCUGGGGGUAUUUUUUACACCACUCGAAUGUAAUGAAAUAAAAUGUAUUGUGCGCAAGCACUAAUGUACAACUUUCAACAACGGAUCUCUUGGCUCUCGCAUCGAUGAAGAACGCAGCGAAAUGCGAUAAGUAAUGUGAAUUGCAGAAUUCAGUGAAUCAUCGAAUCUUUGAACGCACCUUGCACCCUUUGGCAUUCCGAAGGGUAUGCUCGUUUGAGUGUCAUUGUACUCUCACACUCCCUCUGGGGAGCGGUGGACUUGGGUGUUUGCUGCUCACCAAGCGGCUCACCUGAAAUACAUUCGUGCACCUCUUGGUUGGACAUAGUACGGCGUGAUAAGUGUCUUCGCCGGCACCUCGCAAGAGGGUGGCCAGUCUUGAGCUCUGUGCUUUCAAACCGUCCUCGGACAAUGUCUGACAACUUG